GCCUUAUUGAGCCCUGAUAGGCUUGCUGGGGAUAAAACCUGGAGCUUGGGAGAGGAGAGCGACAUUUUGGAGCAAGAUGGCAAGAGGGACGGCGGCCACAUACCUGCAUGGAGUCCUUCUCCUGGCUCUGCUGAAACCUUCACUGCAAGGAGGUGUAUACAUACCAGCUGGUGGUGCUGCAGGAGGAGCUGGAACUGGUAUCGGAGCUGGUGCAGGACCUGGAACUGGAUUUGGACCAGGUGGGACUGGAACAGGUUUUGGCCCUGGAGGAGCUGGGACUGGAUUUCAGCCUGGUGGAGGAGUUGGACCAGGAGGUGCUGGCGGAGGUUUAGGAGGAUUUGGACCAGGAGCUGGUGGAGGUGGCUACGGUGGUCAAGGACCAGGAGGUGUCGGACCAGGAGGUGUCAGACCAGGAGGAGUCGGACCUGGAGGAGUCGUACCAGGAGGUGUCGGACCAGGAGGUGUCGGACCAGGAGGUGUUGGACCAGGUGGUGUCGGACCUGGAGGAGUCGUACCUGGAGGUGUCGGACCAGGAGGAGUUGGACCUGGAGGGUUCAGGCCCAGCACCUUUGGUCCAGGCAGUGGUGGACUUGGAGUUGUACCUGGAGGAGUUGGGGCUGGUGUAAAGCCGCCAAAAACAGGGGGUGGCUACGGCACUCGUGGGGCAGGACUGGGAGCUGGAGGUGUAGGAGGAGGACUGGGACCGGGCGGAGUAGGGUCAGGUGGUUUUGGACCAGGUGGUGUUGGACCUGGAGGCUAUGGAACCAGACCUGGAGGAGUUGGUCCCAGUGGUUUUGGACCAGGACACACUGGUCCUGGUGGUCAAGGGACAGGAUAUGGAGGCCUUGGAGCAGGGGGAGUGGGUGGAGGGACCCUUGGAGCAGGAGGCACUGGGACUGGUGGAGGUCUGGGAGCUGGAACAGGCGUCACCCCUGGGGGUGGAUAUGGAGGUGGUUAUGGACCAGGUGGUGUGAUUCAAUACCCAGGAACUGGUCCCAAACCUCCCAAAACAGGCGGUGUUGAAACAUCACUUGGAGGAACAGGUUAUGGGCCAGGUGGAGCAGGGUUUGGGCCUGGUGGAGCAGGGUUUGGGCCUGGUGGAGCAGGAUUUGGUCCAGGUGGUGCAGGAGUUGGGCCUGGUGGAGCAGGAUUUGGGCCUGGUGGAGCAGGAUUUGGGCCUGGUGGAGCAGGAUUUGGGCCUGGUGGUGCAGGAGUUGGGCCAGGUGGAGCAGGAUUUGGGCCUGGUGGUGCAGGAGUUGGGCCAGGUGGAGCAGGAUUUGGGCCUGGUGGUGCAGGAGUUGGGCCAGGUGGAGCAGGAUUUGGGCCUGGUGGUGCAGGAGUUGGGCCAGGUGGAGCAGGAUUUGGGCCAGGUGGAGCAGGAGUGGGGCCUGGAGGUGCAGGAUUUGGGCCUGGUGGUGCAGGAUUUGGGCCUGGUGGUGCAGGAGUUGGGCCUGGUGGUGCAGGAGUUGGGCCAGGUGGAGUGAGUCCAGGUGGAGCUGCUGUGCCUGGUGGAGCUCCGCUGCUCCCACAGACUGGUACUACAGGGGGAGGACCAGGAGGAAAGAGUGGUGGAAAAGCAUCAAAACAAGUUCCAGGUAUUGGAGUGCCUGGACUCUAUCAAGGUGGAUUUGUACCAGGACAAGGUUUUGGAGGCCGUGGUGUUCUCCCUGGAGUGGCCACAGGAUCUGGACUUGGUCCUCAGACUGGGACCGGCGUACUCGGUCAGGGGGGUGUUGGAACAGGAGGAGCAGGCAAUGGCCGUGGACAGCAGCUGCCUGGGGUUUUUCGUGGAUACCCUCUCAUAUCACCAAAAUCAGGUGCAGGAAAAUCAAAGAAUCCAGCCAAAAUUGCAGCUAAAUAUGGUGGAGCUGGCAGACUUGGUCAGGGAGGAACUUUGGGUGGUGGGGCUGGAAGAGAAGGUGUAGGGGGUACCCCUGGAUUUGGAGGCGGAGUUGGAACAGGCGGUGGACCAGGAGCUGUACCUGGAUUUGGAGGCGGAGUUGGAACAGGCGGCGGGCCGGGAUUAGUACCUGGAUUUGGAGGCGGAGUUGGAACAGGCGGCGGGCCGGGAUCAGUACCUGGAUUUGGAGGCGGAGCAGGAACAGGAGGCGGGCCUGGUUUAGGUUAUGGACCUGGCUCAGCCAAAGCACGCAAAUAUGGCAGUGGAGGCACUGGAGUAGCUGGAGGCCUUGGAGCUGGUGUUGGUCUUGGCACAGCAGGAGGACCUGGUGGUUUUGGUCCAGGUGGUGCUGGCACUGGCGCAGCUGGAGGCCUGGGAGGCGGAAGACAGGGAGGAGGAGUUGGCCCUGGCACGGGUGUGGGACCUGGCUCUGGGGUUGGUUUUGGUCCAGGUGGUGCGGGCACUGGGCCAGGCGGUCUUGGCUACGGUCCUGGUGGUGCUGGCACUGGGCCAGGCGGUCUUGGCUAUGGUCCUGGUGGUGCUGGCCUUGGAACAGGAGGCACAGGAACAGGGCCCGGAGGAUAUGAUGCCAGUGCCAAAGCCCGUAAAUAUGGCAUGUUAAGUGGAGCACUUGGAGGUCCAGGAAUAGGUACUGGAGGAGUCAGGCCUGGUGGUGCUGGAACUGGCUAUGGACCAGGUGGAGUUGGACCAAGUGGAGUUGGACCAGGCGGAGUAGGACCAGGUGGAGUAGGACCCGGUGGUGCUGGCACUGGCUAUGGACCAGGUGGAGUUGGACCCGGUGGUGCUGGAACUGGAUUUGGACCAGGUGGAGUUGGACCUGGUGGUGCUGGAACUGGCUAUGGACCAGGUGGAGUUGGACCCGGUGGUGCUGGAACUGGCUAUGGACCAGGUGGAGUUGGACCCGGUGGUGCUGGCACUGGCUAUGGACCAGGUGGAGUUGGACCCGGUGGUGCUGGAACUGGCUAUGGACCAGGUGGAGUUGGACCCGGUGGUGCUGGAACUGGCUAUGGACCAGGUGGAGUUGGACCUGGUGGUACUGGCACUGGCUAUGGACCUGGAGGUUAUGCUGGUGCCAAAGCCCGUAAAUAUGGUCUUCCUGGAGGUGCUGGAGGUGCCCUGGGUGCAGGAGGACUUGGGGGUGGGGUUGGGCCUGGUACUGGGCUCGGAGUAGGAGGAGGGUUUCCUGGACGAGGUGUUGGAGUAACAACUGGUGGUGGACCUGGAGCAGGAGUAGGGGUGGCUGGGACACCUGGUUCUGGUAUUGGAACAGGAGGUGGACCAGGUGGCUUUGGACCAGGCGGUGCUGGAGGGCUACCUGGUGGUGGCGGAGCCCCUGGAUCUGGUCUAGAUGGAAGAUUUGGUGGCCCAGCAGCAGGUGGUUAUGGUCCAGGGACUGGAGGAGCACUAGGGACUGGAAGAGGAUAUGGACCUGGUGGAUAUGGGCCUGUGGCUGGGACUGGUUAUGGACCAGGUGGAGGUUAUGGUUUAGGACCAGGUGCUGGAUAUGGAACAGGUUAUGGAGCUGGAUCAAAACUUGCUAAAUAUGGUCCCGGUGGAGCAGGUGCUGGUGGGGUACUUGGAGGUGGACUAGGACGAGGAGGUGGCUAUGGAACAGGAGGCUAUGGAACUGGCAGUGGAGGCUAUGGUACAGCUGGAUCUAAAGCUGCUAAAUACGGGCAACCUGGUGGAGUUGUUCCCGGGACAGGAGCAGGGACUGGUGUUGGAGUGAAUGGCACCAGCACUUUAACUGGUGCACGGGCAACAGCUAGACCAAGUGGAGGACCUGGAGCUACAGGAGGCACAGCAGCUCCAGCAUCAGAAGGUGAUGGUGGUGCUGGCAGUGUGAUAGAGGGGUCUGGGAGUCCUGGAGGAGAAGGAGUUACUGGUGUAGCUGGCAGACCAGUAGGUGCAGGAGGUGAUAGAGAUGUCCUGGGUGGAACAGGGAUCCCCAUCAUUGGAGCAAAACCAGGACUCAAUGGGACCACAGUCCCAGGUUCCACAGGAGCUUCCCCUGUUGGUGGUGGGGCUGUACAACCAAGUGCUGGGACCGGAGUUGGUGGUACAAGAGUUCCCCCUGGAGGCUCUGGUGGUGAUGUCUCAAAUGGAGCAUUGCCUGGCGCCAAACCUCUCAAACCCCCAGGUGUCCCUCGAGGUGACACACCAGGUGAAGGAGAUGGAGAAGAUGGCCCCGAUGGAGAGAGAGGUGGUACAGGAGGCACAGGUGGAGGGCCAGGAGGAGUAGGAGGGGGACCUACCAGAGCAGGACCAGCAGGAGGUGUUUCUGGUGGUGCAACAGCAGUAGGAAGAGGAGACGGUCCUGCUACUGGAACUGGACUUGGAUCAGGAGGUGCAGCUGGUGGAGUAGGAGGAACACCAAAACCACCCAAAGAUGGGACUGUCGCAGGAGGUGUAAGCGCAGGACCUGGUGGAGCUGGUGGACUUGCAGGAGGAGUUGGGUCAGCUGGACGAGGUCCUGGAGGAGCAGGCCUGGUACCUGGGGCUGGUGGAGUAGGAACAGGAUUCGCAAAACCUGGAAAAAGCUAUGGUGCUUUUGGAGCUGGAGUUUCACCAGGCGGAGGCAUACGUUACCCAACAGGAGCUGGAGUAGGACAAGGAACAGGAAAACCAGGCAAAGCAUAUGGAACUCUCGGAGUAGGAGGACAGGGUGGGUUUGGACCUGGCGGAUAUGGAGCUGGUCCUGGUGGCUUUGGUACUGGUCCGGGAGGUUACGGAGUGGGACCCGGAGGUUACGGGGCUGGCCCAGGUGGUUAUGGAGCUGGACCUGGAGGCUAUGGAGGCACAACUGGAAGCAGAGGCAUCGGUGGUGGUCCUGGGGGUGUUGGGACUCUUGGAGUUGGAACUGGUCCAGGAGGUGUAGGUCCUGGCGGAGUUGGUGGCGGACUGGGUGGAUACGGUGGUGGUGUGGGGCCUGAUGGUUCUAGAUAUGGUACAGGUCCAGGACGGGGCACUGGGACUGGUGCUGGCAAACCACCAAAAAGUUAUGGAGCAGGAGCUGGUGGUACUGGUGUUGGACCUGGUGGCUAUGGCACUGGACCAGGUGGAGCUGGUUCUGGUCCAGGAGGUUUUGGACCAGGUGGCUUUGUGCCAGGCGGCCCUGGUGCUGGUACUUAUGGACCAGGUGGCACUGGUUCAGGUGGAUAUGGGGCCGGCACUGGAACUAGACCUGGUGGCUUUGGACCAGGUGGUGCCGGAACAGGAACAGGAGGCUUCGGAACAGGUGGUGCCGGAAUAGGAACAGGAGGCUUCGGACCAGGUGGUGUCGGAACAGGAACAGGAGCCUUCGGACCAGGUGGUGCCGGAACAGGAGGCUUCGGACCAGGUGGGGCUGGAACAGGAGGCUUCGGACCAGGUGGGGCUGGAACAGGAGGCUUCGGACCAGGUGGGGCUGGAACAGGAGGCUUUGGACCAGGUGGUGCCGGGGCUCAAGGACUGGGGACAAGAAAACCACCCAAAUCAGGUUAUGGAUCAUCCUCACUGGGUGGAGCUGGCUUUGGACCAGGUGCAGGAGUUGGACCUGGUGGAACAGGUACCGGACCUGGCAGAUAUGGGCCGGGUGGCUUCGGACCAGGUGGUACUGGCGUUGGAACGGGAGGCUUUGGACCAGGUGGUACUGGCGUAGGAACAGGAGGCUUUGGACCAGGGGGUGCUGGCACAGGAACAGGUGGCUUUGGACCAGGUGGUGCUGGAGUAGGAGGGUUUGGACCUGGUGGUGCUGGAACAGGAACAGGAUUUGGACCAGGAAGUCAAGGAUCAGGAAAAAGAAAACCGUCUAAAUCCGGUUAUGGAACUGGUUAUGGUUCAGGAAGCUUAGGAGGAGUUGCAGGAACUGGCACUGGUGGAGCUGGAGCUAGAACUGGCGGCUUUGGUCCAGGAGGAGCUGGAACAGGUGGCUUCGGUCCAGGAGGAGCUGGAACGGGUGGCUUCGGUCCAGGAACUGGCGGUUUCGGUCCAGGAGGAGCUGGGACUGGCGGUUUCGGUCCAGGAGGAGCUGGGCGUGGUGGCUUCGGUCCAGGAGGAGCUGGAACGGGUGGCUUCGGUCCAGGAGGAGCUGGAACGGGUGGCUUCGGUCCAGAAACUGGCGGUUUCGGUCCAGGAGGAGCUGGGACUGGCGGUUUCGGUCCAGGAGGAGCUGGGACUGGUGGCUUCGGUCCAGGAGGAGCUGGGACUGGCGGUUUCGGUCCAGGAGGAGCUGGGACUGGCGGUUUCGGUCCAGGAGGUGCUGGAACUGGCAGUUUCGGUCCAGGAGGUGCUGGUGGAUAUGGACCUGGUGGCCAAACAAGAAAGCCUCCUAAAUCAGGUUAUGGCUCAUCGUUAGGUGGCACUGGCUAUGGACCAGGUGGUGUAGCAGGAGGCCUUCCUAGUACUGGAACAGUAGGAAUCAGUGGAGGCGGUCCAGGUGGUGUAGGAGGGCAGGCAGGAGGCCCUGGAGGACCAGGCCAGGGAGUAGGAGGAGGACCAGGUGGCUUACCAGGGGGUGCUGGCCCUGGUUUUGGAGGGGUGGCUGGUGGAGGCUAUCCAGGAUUUGCAGGGGCUGGGCAAAAAUCCAAGGCACAGAAGGCAGCCAAAUAUGCAGCCCUGCAGGCCCUACUUGGAUCUGGGGGCUACAGAGGUGCUGGCUGUCAGGGUAAAUUCUGUGGCCGAAGGAGGAAGUGAGCCACCAACAGACAUGAAGUGACCUCAUCAAUACAACAGUGGUGCUAUUGCAUGAUCCCAAACUGUAAAUGUCUUAUCUGCCAUGGAAGCUAAAGCUUCAACACAUUCCAAGUGUUACAUUUUUAUUUGCUUAGAUGUUGUACAAGGCUUACUGAGUAAGAAAAAUGGUUCUCAACCUGUUAGAAUCCUGAUUCCUGAAAGCAAGAUGCUGCAGACUGCUAUGCAGAUUGGAGGAUUUGUCACUGUCACAUUGAUUUUUUGGGGGGAUAAUUUGCAAAUUUGGCUUUGGUCAGAUAUAAAGUAUUCACAGUUUCUCAAGAAAAAACACAAAUUAGAGUCUGAAUUUCAAGAAUUAAGUUUCAAGAGUGACAAUAGGCUUGUUUAAGAUGGGACAAACUUGCGCUGAAUUGAUCAACACAGAUUGCUGCAUAAUGGAUGCUAGUUAUAUUUCCAUAUUGAUUCCAACUUGUUUUGAUGUCAGAAUGACACAGGCAAUAACAGCAUCAUGAGAUCAUGACAGAAAACAUCUGGCUUUCACCUGCUCCAUUAGCUGAUUGGUUCUAAUGUCGAGUCUACAAUAUGAAAUUUGAUAAUGAUAAGUUACAAGAGCGUUCAUGUAAAAAUGGAGGCUGAACCAAGAACAGAGGUUACAGAUGCCCUGUCAUAAUUAAAACUAUUUAAUGAAUCAACUAGUUUCUGUAACUUCCUGCUUUGACUGAAAGCUGCUGGAAACUGUCUUGACUGCUGACUUUUAACACUACCCCGUGCUGUUGCUAUCUGUUCCUGACUUCUGUUAGAACCGCAGUUGAUCUCAAAUGAGUCUAUUAUUCCAUCAGCAACACAACAACCAGCAAACUGGACACAAUGGAAUUCUUCAAGCUCUAGUUCUAAUUUGUUAACAUUUCUUAUAGUCCUAAUAUUCCCCAAUGAAUCACUUUGUAAGUCUCUGGGGAUCUUGACUACCAGGCUGAGAACCACUAAAAUGAAGGAUCUGUAUUUCUUUUUAUCAGUGAGGCCAACCUGCUCUAUACUACAGUUAUUGUUUUCUAUUGCUGCGUUGAAUAUCAUUUGUGUUCCAAUGCAAGUAUCACCAUGAAACCUCUGGGUUGAGACUGAUACCAAGGACUCCCUCAGGGCAGCUCCUUCAGACCUGUCUGCAUGCUGACACAAGGUUUAUGAAAAACGUCUCCAAGGCAACAUUUUUGUCCAGUUAGACUGGGUCGUUCUUUUGUCUACAGAUUUUAAAAUGUGCUAAUUCACUGUUUUUAGCUUGUACAUCAGUAGACGCUCUUGUGUAAUCUAUCAGCAAUGUGUAAUGACCAAGAAACAGAUGGCUGCUGUUCUGUGGAAUGAUGAACAAAAGAGACACUCAGUGGAGUCUUCUGUGGUUUGGUGUUUUGACUGGUCAUUAUCUCAUCCUUAAAAAGCAGCCUCUGUUCAUGUCAACUGUACUCAGGCCUCAGUAGUAUCAACCGUGGAGGCCUAAAAGUAUUUUGCUAACACUGGUGAGAUUCUUCCACUCUGUUCACAACAUUAAAGACACUGUUUUAUAGCUACGUAACACUAAGUGGUAAUAGUGUAAAGUUUUGGUUAACCUCCAUUUUGCUUUCAUUGUUAGAAGGAGAUAUUUGUUAUGAUAUAAUGAUGUGGCUUAGUUUUAGCUUUUACAUUUGCUGUUGAGGAAAGCAUUCAAGCUAAAUGUGAGGUAAUAUGACAAGAAUACAUGAGGAGUACUGAUUACUGUUUUUUUUUUUCUUUUGAUGUACCUCCUUUAACACUGUUGAAAAUUUGUUCACGUUUACCAGACUUUUUAAAUUAUGCUGGAUAAUAGGGAUCUAUUUAGUCUUAUUUUACAAAUUCAAGAGCAUUAAUACAGUAUUAAAUAUUUCAGCUAGUUAUUUUGUGUGUGAGUGUUUCAACAGUUAUUAAACGUGUGUACUACUAUGAUGAUAGAAGUGCUUUGUUUUCUACAUUGUCCUUGAAUGUGUGUUGAAUCACAAUGUAGUCUGUGAGGUCAUUAGGAUAAAAAAGUAUAACUGAAUCUUAUCUUGCAUUUGAGCUUAUGUUUGUGUUUAUCAUGCGGCUCAACAUGUGUUUUUAAUGUAUUUUUUAUGUGGCCUAUGAAGAAAAUAAUGCACUUUUGUACACUUUCUGACUAUGCUCUCUGAAGUAAAGAGAUGACCAAUGAC
ensembl:lncRNA